CUCUUCUCUUGAGCACCGCUCUGUCUAGCAAUGACAGUGUACGGUUUCGUAUGAGAAGAAGAGCAGAGUCACAGUUAACAGGCAGCUACCUCAGUGGCAGUUGCCCAUGUCUGAUGUGAAACAAAC